rnacentral:rRNA from 1 species
UCCCAGCCGUAAACAAUGUGCGUUAGGUGUGUCGGUAACCACGCGUUACUGAUGCGCCGAAGAGAAAUCGUGAAACGCACCACCUGGGAAGUACGGUCGCAAGGCUGAAACUUAAAGGAAUGGGCAACGGUAGGUCAGCAUGCCCCGAAUUAUCCGGGCUACACGCGGGCUACAAUGGACGGGACAAUGGGUAACGACACCGAAAGGUGCAGUCAAUCUUCUAACCCCGUCCU